rnacentral:lncRNA from 1 species
AAGAGUCUCAGGCUCCAAUAGAUGUUAAACAUGUCCAAUUUAACCAGGACCAGACCCUAUAAGAGCCAGAGCCACAAUGAGGCCCCAGCAGUCUGGAAGAGGACCUGGACUUGGGCUCAUGGCUGCUGCCCUCAGUCAGUUGUUUCUGUGGCUUCUUGGGAGUUAAUGUGACACUGGAGAUCUGCCAGGAUCCCUGAGCUCCACCUCCAUCUGCCCGGUAGGUCAGCUGGGUUUGGCCUGGAUCCAGAAAGCAGGCGACACGCUUCCCCGAUUCUCAGUUGGACCCGGGCACUGUAGCCAGGGUCCCACACUCUUCGGCGGGCUGCAUGGACUGAGCCAAUUUGGUGUGGAAGAUCUCCUGGCUGUGGCGGUGUGGCUAAUCCACCUUCGCAGCUCCAGUAGUCAGUCUGGAGUCCUUCUGGAAGCAGCUCUAAGGAACAAGCCAAGAACUCAGGAAUCCAUUUGGGAGUACCUCCUGGCCUCUCUGGGACCUUUGCAUUACCCAGAAAGCAUCAUGGCAGCCCAGCUCCUAUGUAAUCACCUCCCUGUGUCUGGAAACUUCGGUUGCAAGGUAUUAUCUCCUGAGCCAUACAGCCUCCAGCAUCAGGACAUCAACUGUAAGUGUCUCACCAGGAGUGAGCUUGGGGACUCUUGACAGUCCUUCAGAGGAGGGGUGUGGGGAGGGUCACUGGACCCUCACCUGAGAUCCAGCCAUUCCUUUCAGCCAUUUGUAUGCAGUGGCUGAAACUUUUCUUAAUUGCUUGUUGGGGAGUGGGCCUGGGAAAAGCUACCAUAUAUGGGCCGAGAAAGACUGGAGGGGGAUUCACGAUGUGUGGUUGUGGAGAAGCCAUCAUUGAUGCUGGGUGAAGACUUUCUGGUGUGGCUACUUUGGGGGGUCACACAAGUUCCUGUCAGUAACUCCACAUUCACCCAUGCUUUUUAUGUAAACCCAAUAAGCUCAGUGGCUCCCCCUAGGGGGUGAUUGUGUCUUGGUUUGUCUUUGGAGCCCGCUGAGGGAGGUUCACAUCUCCACCAGGGAGGAGAUUUUCACGACAGUUUCUCAGGCUCAGAGUUCUUAUCCCGUGGGGACAAACUUUAUGAAUGGCAUCUUUAUCCUUUAUGGCCACAGUUCAUGCUUUAAGGGAUGUCACUGCCUUCCAUGGGUUGCCAUUUCCCACCAGCCCAGGGAAUCUGGUGAAGGGAGGAGGAAGUAGAAUGUGUAACUGGACAGAGGCUGGGAGAUGGUUGGAGAGGCAAAACAGUAUGUUAUUUCUGCUACUUGCAAAUCGUUUGGAACCUUGGACUUAAGAAUCAGGAUGCCGAAUCCAGAUCCACAGGGGUUCCGGGAGGAAAAGCUCUCUGCCUCAACACAAGGAAAGUGGUAACCUUCUGUGGAGACAUCUUUCAAAACCACCUCCACAGAUCACUGUAGUCAUGAUGGGUUAUCACAGUAAGACACAGGAGCUGCCUAGGUGUGGUGACACACCUGAAACCCAGCACUUAGGAACGGAGCUAAGAAAGUUACUCCAAGUUUUCCUAGUGCAGCGUUGCGACCUGGGUAGCUAGCUCCCUAUUACAGGGCUAUAGAGUGUGCACGUACUUUGACCGCUUCACGGGGGUGAGAUUUACAAACUUCUCAUUUAUGCCAGAGAGUAAGCUUUCUUAGCUUGUUAAUAAAGAAGCAGAUCGACUGCUUUUUGGGGGUAGG